rnacentral:rRNA from 1 species
UACGGAGGGUGCAAGCGUUAUCCGGAUUUAUUGGGUUUAAAGGGUCCGUAGGCGGACCAUUAAGUCAGUGGUGAAAGCCCCUUGCUCAACAAGGGAACUGCCAUUGAUACUGAUGGUCUUGAGUACAUGUGAGGUUGGCGGAAUGUGUGGUGUAGCGGUGAAAUGCUUAGAUAUCACACAGAACACCGAUUGCGAAGGCAGCUGGCCAACAUGUAACUGACGCUGAGGGACGAAAGUGUGGGGAUCAAACAGG